GGCAGUAAGUUUACUGCGUAUCCCUAGCCGAAGGCUCGGGUAAUCUUUGAAACUGCAUCAGUGAUGGGGAUAGAUUAUUGCAAUUAUUAGUCUUCAACGAGGAAUGCCUAGUAAGCGCAAUUCAUCAGAUUGCGUUGAUUACGUCCCUGCCCUUUGUACACACCGCCCGUCGCUCCUACCGAUUGGGUGUGCUGGUGAAGUGUUCGGAUUGGCAACUAUCGGUGGCAACACCGUCGGUUGCCGAGAAGUUCAUUAAACCCUCCCACCUAGAGGAAGGAGAAGUCGUAACAAGGUUUCCGUAGGUGAACCUGCGGAAGGAUCAUUGAAUAUGCAAACCACAACACGCACUCUUUAUUUGUGUUCGACGUUAGGUCAACACGCGCAAGCGUGGGGCCUACUAACCUACACACCAUUGACCAACCAUUUAUCAAACCAAACUCUGAAGCUUUGGCUGCCGUUAACCGGCAGUUCUAACAAAGAACAACUCUCAACAACGGAUAUCUUGGCUCUCGCAACGAUGAAGAACGCAGCGAAAUGCGAUACGUAGUGUGAAUUGCAGAAUUCCGUGAACCAUCGAAUCUUUGAACGCAUAUUGCGCUCGACUCCUCGGAGAAGAGCAUGUCUGCCUCAGCGUCGGUUUACACCCUCACCCCUCUUCCUUAACAGGAGGCGCCUGUCGUGCUUGCUCAAGCCGGCAGCAGGGGUGGAUCUGGCUCUCCCAAUCGGAUUCACUCUGGUUGGGUUGGCUGAAGCACAGAGGCUUAAACUGGGACCCAAUUCGGGCUCAACUGGAUAGGUAGCAACACCCUCGGGUGCCUACACGAAGUUGUGUCUGAGGACCUGGUUAGGAGCCAAGCAGGAAACGUACUCUGUACGUACUCUGUAUUCGACCUGAGCUCAGGCAAGGCUACCCGCUGAACUUAAGCAUAUCACUAAGCGGAGGAAAAGAAACUAACAAGGAUGCGCUUAGUAACGGCGAGCGAACCGCGCAAAGGCCAACUUGAAAAUCUCCCUCGGAGAAUUGUAGUCUAUAGAAGUACCCUCUGCAACGGGCUGAGCUAAAGUCUCCUGGAAAGGGGCGUCAGAGAGGGUGAGAACCCCGUAAGCUCACGCUUAGUUGCCUCACGAGGUGCUUUCGAAGAGUCGGGUUGCUUGGGAAUGCAGCCCAAAUUUGGUGGUAAAUCCCAUCUAAGCCUAAAUACUGGCGAGAGACCGAUAGCGAACAAGUACCGUGAGGGAAAGAUGAAAAGAACUUUGAAAAGAGAGUUAAAUAGUGCUUGAAAUUGUUGAGGGGGAAGCGUUUGAAUGCUCGAGUGCGCUCAGGCUUAUGGGUCCUUAACGGGGCUCUGUAUGUGCUGAGCGCUGGCCAGCAUGGGUUAGGCUAGUGGGACAAAAGCGUGGGUUGAUACCAUGCCGCUGCCACUGGCUUGACCAAGGCGUGAAGACUGCCCUUGUCUCUUCGAGGAACUGCAGUCUCAAGAUGCUGGUGAAAGGCUUCAACCGACGUGUAGCCC
rnacentral:rRNA from 1 species